CCUACGGGAGGCAGCAGUGGGGAAUAUUGGACAAUGGGGGGAACCCUGAUCCAGCCAUGCCGCGUGUGUGAAGAAGGCCCUCGGGUUGUAAAGCACUUUCAGUGAGGAAGAACGCCUGGUGGUUAAUACCCAUCAGGAAAGACAUCACUCACAGAAGAAGCACCGGCUAACUCCGUGCCAGCAGCCGCGGUAAUACGGAGGGUGCGAGCGUUAAUCGGAAUUACUGGGCGUAAAGCGCGCGUAGGUGACUUGAUAAGCCGGUUGUGAAAGCCCCGGGCUCAACCUGGGAACGGCAUCCGGAACUGUCAAGCUAGAGUGCAGGAGAGGAAGGUAGAAUUCCCGGUGUAGCGGUGAAAUGCGUAGAGAUCGGGAGGAAUACCAGUGGCGAAGGCGGCCUUCUGGACUGACACUGACACUGAGGUGCGAAAGCGUGGGUAGCAAACAGGAUUAGAUACCCGAGUAGUC
rnacentral:rRNA from 1 species